CCCUGGCAGCUGCUCCAUUGCUCAUACUGAUCUUGUAAAUCCUGGGCUUUGUACAGAUGAAAUCUGCAUCUUUUCUUCUCCUGCUUUCUCACCACUCUAAAUAAUUUGUUGCAUGAAAGUCAGAUUUUCAAAGGGAGAAUGAGAGAACUAAUGAUUUUGCAUGAGACAUUUUGUGAGGAAAAUCACAGAAGAAAUGCUGCCCAGCAAAGACAGACAAUUGCUGUAGUUUUGUUCCCUACUGCCCAGCAAACUGCCCUCCUCUUUUCUGCCAAAAAACAUGGAGAAACAGCGAAAUCAGAAUGAAGAGAACUCAGAGGAAAACUCAGAAGAGCAAACAGAACAACAGAAGGCGAGCCAACAGAGGAGCAAAAGGAAUAUUAGGGUGGGAGACAUCAGUGGAGGCCAGAGACCUCGAUUUCAAUCUCAGCAAACCACUGAGAGUUAAUCAUGCAGAAAUGUAGUCAACUAUCUGAUUCACUUAUUGUGUUAGCUACUGAAUAUUUAUCUGUUUUACAGGUAUAACCUCCACAGGCUGUGCUGCAGAGAGAAAAAAAAUGAGAUGCACAAAGUGAAGUGACUUAGCCAAGUAUUAAAAACCAAACAAAUCCAAUCACCUGGAGAGAAAGCAGCUCCCUGUUUGUUACCAAACUUCCAAGAGGAAGCUACAGUUAAGAUUUAACACCAAUAAAAUUGCAGUGAAGACAGAAGUUCAGAACAUUUACAAGAUUAAGUGCAGACCAUUUAAUUGUGGAGAGUGAAACUAAAACUAACUUCAUUCAUUCUCAUGGCAUUCAGAUAACUGCGGGCAAAAAAGGCAAAAGCUUUAAUAAAGGAAUAGUUCUACUGCAACAAAGGAAAUGAGCAAGAAGGGAGAUGAGGACACAUCUUAAGUCCAUUAAUGGCAGUGGGAAUUUGCCUUCAUCUUCAGUGGGAAUACACUUUCAAAGACAUGGGAAUCGCCCAUACAAACUGGAGGAUAAAAUCUGAACCUUCCGUGGUCUGUGACACAAACACAGUGGAAAUGUCCCCAGCAGGAGUUUCAUAGUCAGGCUUGACCACAGUUCUGUGUGCAGUGCUGGCUGCUGGGAUGGACGUCAUCAUAGCUGCAGGCACAGGCAGUGUCUGUGGUAGAGCCCUCCCUGAGGCCGGGCCAGGCAGGAACCAGGCAGAUAUGCAUCUCCUCUUGGUGAACAUUGACCCUCUUGCUGAUUAUGGGUUUACUUUCAAUGGCCUGCAUUUGGGAAGAUGAGCAGUGUGGACAGCAGGAAUCUUCCCCAGGGAGAUUCAAGAUGUUCAAGGGCCAAGAAUUCAUCCUGGGUAAAUGCUGCCUGCUGAAUGGUGCAAAAGCCAAUGCAGGAAAGCCCAAAUGAAGGACUGAGCAUUUUUUCAGCUGCUGUUUUAGUACUGGCACUACACAGCAAAGUAGACAUUAAUAGAACAGAGUUGCCAUUCUUCUGCUAACAGCAGCAUUCAUCUCCCUCUCAUCCCUUUGGUCUUCUUCCACCCCCAUGAUUACACCACAUCAGCUCACUGUGUGAUAGUGUGCACACCAGGACCUUGUUGUACUCUUGAAGGGUGAGUUCAUCUGCCCCACAAGCACAUGGCCCCUGUAGUUCUGUUUGAGCUCUUUAAGUCCUCCACUAUCCUUGAUUAUUGCACUUUAAGGAAGAAGACUUCUUCAUAACAACUUAUCAAGUUAUGUUUCAUAUUGGAUCCGUGCUGCCAGUCCUUUGCAAUUUACACAAAGAAAAAAAAAAUUACGAGUAUUUUCUCAGGAACCUUUUUAAAAGAAAUAUAUUUGCCAUGUGCUAAUGCGUCUGUGUUGUACAUGGCACUGAUUUUCAGCCCCUAGGGAUAAGGAGGUCUAUGAACAACCUUUAAGAGAGUCACAGAUAUGACUAAACAGUGCAAGUUCGUGCGUAUUUUCUAGACAUUACACUUCUUAAGGAAGCCCAUGCCUCUAUUGGAAAACUAAAAAAAUAAUUCACAAUCUGUGACUUUUUUGUAAGUCAAAAUUUUGUUUUUCUAUUGGAAGUCAAAAUAUCAUCUUUUAUUUGAUUUUUUUGAGAGCUUUGCCUAAGAUUCUUCAGGAACAGACAACUUAUUUUUUUUUAUUAUUUUUAUUUCCCCCAGAAAAUGCAGUAUUUCUUUAAUACUAAACUCCGCUGGUCUCCAGUGCCCUAACUUUUAACUAUCACCUUGUAUAAAAUCAGUGUAAGAAAUGAGAAAUGAAGCAUGCUUUUAAAAUCAUGUAGUAGUGCUAUUAGGUUCUGUGGGAUUAGUUUGAUGGUCAAGUAAAAUAACUGUCAGUUAGACAGAUAGUGCAAUAAAGGUGAAACACACUAUUGCCGAUAGGAAAGUAAUCUUCAUUUCAUGGUCCCAGACUUCUCCUACCAUAUGAGCAUGGCACUUUGUGGGACUGAGUGGCACUCACCAGUGUAACACUGCUGAACACAAACAACUUGAUUACAUUAGUUAAACGUGGUAGAGGCAAAGUGGAACUGAACAGCUUCAUGGCCCUUAUCAAGUAUAGCAGAAGUGCAGUUUCUUCUCUUUGCAAGGGAAAUUUCACAUGUUAGGGCUAACAACAUUUGGAACAAGUCCACUGUAAUUUCAGUGUAGCAUUGGAUGAAGCGUGACAAUGAGAUCAGUCAAGUAAAAAACUGGGAGAGUUAAAUUCUUGUCAAUUUUACAAUAGCACUGCACAAAUUGUGUGUGCACUUGUGCAAGGUGUCGAGCAGAAAGGAAAUAUGUUUCUUCUAAGAGGAUACAGGAGUGGCUACUACUACAGCGUACAAAAGCUAUCUUUGAAAAGUUGGAAUGAUAACCAUUGCUUUCUUCACACAGAUUUCCUAAGUUUACGAGACCAGAAAAGCUCUUAUGUUGCCAGCAUCACUCCCUCAGAGGGAACUGGUAAAAGGCUAUCAGAAAUUUGAGUCCUGGAUUUCAGUACCUUCUCCAGGCUGAGCUUCAAAAAUGAAAGUCAGCUUUUUUAAAAGCUGGUUUUCCAUCUUUACACAUCCAUUAUUCCAUCUUAACUUCAAUUCCAUGUUUUUUCCUUCUUAUAAAAAAAAACACAAAAACACACCUGGACUGACAUGUGGAAAUCAUAUGUGUCAGAACAGACUUUUGGAUUUCUCCUACUUCAAACAUACAUAGCAUCAUAUCCAUCAUAGCCAUCUGGCUGGCUUAAUACUGAAGAGCACUUCAUAAAGUCAUUUGUAUGGAUGUAUGAACAUGCCUCAUAAAAAGAAAGGUACAACUGAAGAGCUCUAAUACUGUAAAGAAACCUACUUAAAAGUGAAGAAACGUGGGAAUGACAAUUGCCUGUGCAGCUUUGAUUGUGUUGUUUCUUAUAAGACUGUCUUUAAUCACCCACCGGACAGUCCUUCAUUUAGUGUACAAGAUCUCCAGCAUUCUCAGAUAAUGGGUAGGAGUGUUUUGCUUGUUUUUAAUUCUUUUUAUUAAAUGUAUAGUCUUCUCUUCCUACUUACUGCUCAUUACCCAGCUCCUUCCCAGAAACUAACUCCAUCCUGGAGUUUGACAUGUUUAGCUCCCUGAAGCAUUAUCGUUCUUGCAUUUGGUCUAGGAUUACCAUGGCUUUAUCCAAAGGUUUUACCAAGCAGCAAAGCUUUUCUUAAAACCCACUGAAAUGCUUGGUUUCAGCCAGGCAGUUUCCUGAUAUUAGUGUAACACAGUAUCUUUCCAAAAGCCUGGUAGGUGAAAGCUUGGUUUGAGAACACACUGGGAUGUUCAGUAGCACUGAUAUCUGUUAACAAUCACAACUGUUAACAAUCCUUGGAAGUGUAGGAAGUAUUUAAAAGCCAGGUGGUUCAGGAAGCUGGCAGUGGAUUAUGAGGCAGUAACAUGAGGGAUAACUAAAAAGGUAAAGAGAGUUGUCUGCUGCAGCUUGCCUUUUGAAACAAGACAAAUGGGAACAACUCAUGCACGCAAACAUGAGGAGGACAGCACAGAGUGGUGGAGUGCCUGCCUCUUCCUAAAGCAAGAUCAUACCUAUGGAAACAGCCUAGGGGUGAGGGCACCGGAUUGACAUCUUGCCUGAAACAACAGGAUAAUCUUGUUUCAUCUCUGCCAUCAGGCAUAGGGAAUGAAAGAUCCUGAGCCCAAGGGACAGCAAAUAAUUGCUCCCCAGACAAGAUGGACUGCUUCCUCUUGUAAAGGAAAAGCUCCUCUCCAUUCAAAGCUGGACAGGUACAUAGAGAAACAACAGCAUGGUCAGGGGGUGCAGUGACGUUCAUCCUUGUCAGGAUGGCAGUCUGUUCCCAGGCCUACCAAGCAAAAAUACAGCAGAAUGAACAGGUAAGAGUAAAAGUGUAAAUAUCAGCAUCAGCCUGGAUUUUUAUAUAUGUGGUCUGGAAAGUUAUAUAUUCUGUUGUAAAUUAGUCAAGGAGAAUGAGGUGCUAAAAGCCCUCAACAGAGAUCUGUGAAGAGAUUAUGUUCACCUGAGCACCAUAUUCUAGUUAAGCUUCUAGAAAGUGGAAGAGAACUUUGUCUUCAAACAGCUGUGUUGGGUUCUCCAUCACCACUCCUCCAUUUUCCAGUGAUUGUGCUUGGCAUCAUAUCAACAAUAUCAGCCCUGAAGGUUGUGUAACAAGGUAAUGAUACAAGCCUUAGGGAUGAAGGUGGAGGUGCUGGUAGGAUGACAACGUCCCACCACCCACAUACAGUAAGAAAUAAUUGAGAUUAGGUGAGGCUGCAGUCAGACAUGAAAAU